rnacentral:rRNA from 1 species
GCUGUGAGCUCGAUGAGUAGGGCGGGACACGUGGUAUCCUGUCUGAAUAUGGGGGGACCAUCCUCCAAGGCUAAAUACUCCUGACUGACCGAUAGUGAACCAGUACCGUGAGGGAAAGGCGAAAAGAACCCCGGCGAGGGGAGUGAAAAAGAACCUGAAACCGUGUACGUACAAGCAGUGGGAGCCUCUUAAUGGGGUGACUGCGUACCUUUUGUAUAAUGGGUCAGCGACUUAUAUUCUGUAGCAAGGUUAACCGAAUAGGGGAGCCGAAGGGAAACCGAGUCUUAACUGGGCGUUAAGUUGCAGGGUAUAGACCCGAAACCCGGUGAUCUAGCCAUGGGCAGGUUGAAGGUUGGGUAACACUAACUGGAGGACCGAACCGACUAAUGUUGAAAAAUUAGCGGAUGACUUGUGGCUGGGGGUGAAAGGCCAAUCAAACCGGGAGAUAGCUGGUUCUCCCCGAAAGCUAUUUAGGUAGCGCCUCGUGAAUUCAUCUCCGGGGGUAGAGCACUGUUUCGGCAAGGGGGUCAUCCCGACUUACCAACCCGAUGCAAACUGCGAAUACCGGAGAAUGUUAUCACGGGAGACACACGGCGGGUGCUAACGUCCGUCGUGAAGAGGGAAACAACCCAGACCGCCAGCUAAGGUCCCAAAGUCAUGGUUAAGUGGGAAACGAUGUGGGAAGGCCCAGACAGCCAGGAUGUUGGCUUAGAAGCAGCCAUCAUUUAAAGAAAGCGUAAUAGCUCACUGGUCGAGUCGGCCUGCGCGGAAGAUGUAACGGGGCUAAACCAUGCACCGAAGCUGCGGCAGCGACACUAUGUGUUGUUGGGUAGGGGAGCGUUCUGUAAGCCUGUGAAGGUGGCCUGUGAGGGUUGCUGGAGGUAUCAGAAGUGCGAAUGCUGACAUAAGUAACGAUAAAGCGGGUGAAAAGCCCGCUCGCCGGAAGACCAAGGGUUCCUGUCCAACGUUAAUCGGGGCAGGGUGAGUCGACCCCUAAGGCGAGGCCGAAAGGCGUAGUCGAUGGGAAACAGGUUAAUAUUCCUGUACUUGGUGUUACUGCGAAGGGGGGACGGAGAAGGCUAUGUUGGCCGGGCGACGGUUGUCCCGGUUUAAGCGUGUAGGCUGGUUUUCYAGGCAAAUCCGGAAAACCAAGGCUGAGGCGUGAUGACGAGGCACUACGGUGCUGAAGCGACAAAUGCCCUGCUUCCAGGAAAAGCCUCUAAGCAUCAGGUAACAUCAAAUCGUACCCCAAACCGACACAGGUGGUCAGGUAGAGAAUACCAAGGCGCUUGAGAGAACUCGGGUGAAGGAACUAGGCAAAAUGGUGCCGUAACUUCGGGAGAAGGCACGCUGAUAUGUAGGUGAAGCGACUUGCUCGUGGAGCUGAAAUCAGUCGAAGAUACCAGCUGGCUGCAACUGUUUAUUAAAAACACAGCACUGUGCAAACACGAAAGUGGACGUAUACGGUGUGACGCCUGCCCGGUGCCGGAAGGUUAAUUGAUGGGGUUAGCGGYAACGCGAAGCUCUUGAUCGAAGCCCCGGUAAACGGCGGCCGUAACUAUAACGGUCCUAAGGUAGCGAAAUUCCUUGUCGGGUAAGUUCCGACCUGCACGAAUGGCGUAAUGAUGGCCAGGCUGUCUCCACCCGAGACUCAGUGAAAUUGAACUCGCUGUGAAGAUGCAGUGUACCCGCGGCAAGACGGAAAGACCCCGUGAACCUUUACUAUAGCUUGACACUGAACAUUGAGCCUUGAUGUGUAGGAUAGGUGGGAGGCUUUGAAGUGUGGACGCCAGUCUGCAUGGAGCCGACCUUGAAAUACCACCCUUUAAUGUUUGAUGUUCUAACGUKGGCCCSUWAYCSGGGUUGCGGACAGUGUCUGGUGGGUAGUUUGACUGGGGCGGUCUCCUCCUAAAGAGUAACGGAGGAGCACGAAGGUUGGCUAAUCCUGGUCGGACAUCAGGAGGUUAGUGCAAUGGCAUAAGCCAGCUUGACUGCGAGCGUGACGGCGCGAGCAGGUGCGAAAGCAGGUCAUAGUGAUCCGGUGGUUCUGAAUGGAAGGGCCAUCGCUCAACGGAUAAAAGGUACUCCGGGGAUAACAGGCUGAUACCGCCCAAGAGUUCAUAUCGACGGCGGUGUUUGGCACCUCGAUGUCGGCUCAUCACAUCCUGGGGCUGAAGUAGGUCCCAAGGGUAUGGCUGUUCGCCAUUUAAAGUGGUACGCGAGCUGGGUUUAGAACGUCGUGAGACAGUUCGGUCCCUAUCUGCCGUGGGCGCUGGAGAACUGAGGGGGGCUGCUCCUAGUACGAGAGGACCGGAGUGGACGCAUCACUGGUGUUCGGGUUGUCAUGCCAAUGGCACUGCCCGGUAGCUAAAUGCGGAAGAGAUAAGUGCUGAAAGCAUCUAAGCACGAAACUUGCCCCGAGAUGAGUUCUCCCUGACUCCUUGA